rnacentral:rRNA from 1 species
CCUACGGGUGGCAGCAGUGAGGAAUAUUGGUCAAUGGCCGGAAGGCUGAACCAGCCAUGCCGCGUGAAGGUCAGUGCCCUAUGGGCGUUAAACUUCUUUUGUGCGGGAGCAAUAAUGGUCACGUGUGGCCAGACGAGAGUACCGUACGAAUAAGCAUCGGCUAACUCCGUUCCAGCAGCCGCGGUAAUACGGGGGAUGCAAGCGUUAUCCGGACUUAUUGGGUUUAAAGGGUGCGUAGGCUGGGAGGUAAGUCAGCGGUGAAAUGCCCCCGCUCAACGGGGUGAAGUGCCAUUGAUACUGCCUGGCUGGAAUGCGGAUGCCGUGGGAGGAAUGUGUGGUGUAGCGGUGAAAUGCAUAGAUAUCACACAGAACACCGAUUGCGAAGGCAUCUCACGAAUCCGCGAUUGACGCUGAUGCACGAAAGCGUGGGUAUCAAACAGGAUUAGAUACCCUUGUAGUC